GUUUGGUGAUCGGUACUUUGGCACUGAUGACUGAUAACUACACAUUCUGCAAAGAGUCUCAGUAUUGAUGUGCUCGCUCUUAAAUAGGAACUUUAGAACCCUCCAAUUGGGGAGAUCUGUGAUCUCUUUUUUUCUGGUUUAUCAACUAUUUCAGCACAAGUAUAGAGAACACUGAUACUGGAAAUUCUUAAUGGAUGUCGGUCGAUGUAAAAUCUAAAC
rnacentral:misc_RNA from 1 species